rnacentral:tRNA from 1 species
AAGGAUUUAAGUUAAAUAUGAAACUACCAGCCUUCAAAGCUGUAAACGGAGAGUUCUCUAAGCCUUG